AAUUAUUAUUAAUGUCUCUAUAUAAUUAUUCACGAAAUAAAUUGAGCUAAAUAUUUUUAAUAAUUUAGAUUAUAAUUUUUGUGUUGCAAAAUAUUUUAACUAUUUAUAUUUAGGGGUGAAAGGCCAUUCAAAUUUUAUGAUAUCUUGAUGUAUAUAAAAUAUAUUAAGUAUUUCUAAAGCAUCUAUUGAAUGUUUAGGUUCAAUAGUUUCAUUAUUUUUUUAAAAAUUUUAUUAAUUUUUUUAAGUUAAAUUAAUUUUAUUUAUAAAAUAUUAAUCAAUUUAAUUUUAUAUGAAUUUGAAUAUACUGUGAUUAUUAAUCAAAUCUAUCAUUUAUAAUGUAAUUAUUAGUAAAAUCAAAAAUUUAAAUCUUAUAAAGGAAUUCGGCAAAAUUAUUUUUCGACUGUUUAUCAAAAACAUAGCUUUUUGAAAAUUCAUAAUAAGUUAGCCCUGCUCAAUGGAAUUAUCUAAAUAGCCGCAGUACCUUGACUGUGCAAAGGUAGCAUAAUCAAUUGGCUUAUAAUUGAAGUCUGGAAUGAAUGGGUAUUUCUGGAAAAUAGCUGUCUUUAUUUGAUUUCCCGAAGUUACUUAUAAAGUGAAAAUACUUUUAUAAAAAUAUAAGACGAGAAGACCCUAGAAAUUUUGUAUUUUUUAAAUUUUGUUGGGGCGACAGGGUAACACAAAAAUUAAACUUACCUAUUUUUAAAAUAUAAACUUUAUAAGGUAUGUAAUUAAAUUACUCUAGGGAUAACAGCAUAAUAUAUAAAAGUUUAUGACCUCGAUGUUGGACUAGGUAAUUAAAUAUUUAAAAGAUAUUUAAUUAUGCUCUGUUCGAGCAAAAAUACUACCUACAU
rnacentral:rRNA from 1 species